rnacentral:rRNA from 1 species
GUUCGAUUAUGGCUCAGAUUGAACGCUGGCGGGAUGUACUUUACACAUGCAAGUCGAACGGCAGCACGGACUUCGGUCUGGUGGCGAGUGGCGAACGGGUGAGUAAUGUAUCGGAACGUGCCUAGUAGCGGGGGAUAACUACGCGAAAGCGUAGCUAAUACCGCAUACGCCCUUCGGGGGAAAGCGGGGACCUUCGGGCCUCGCACUAUUAGAGCAGCCGAUAUCGGAUUAGCUAGUUGGUGGGAGUAACGGCUCACACCAAGGCGACGAUCCGUAGCUGGUUUGAAGGACGACCAGCCACACUGGGACUGAGACCACGGCCCAGACUCCACCACGGGAGAGGCAGCGGUGAAAAUUUUGGACAAUGGGGAAACCCUGAUCCAGCCAUCCCGCGUGUGCGAUGAAGGCCUUCGGGUUGUAAGCACUUUGGCAGAAGAAACGGCACGGGAUAAUACCCCGUGCAACUGACGUACCUGCAGAAUAAGCACCGGCUAACUACGUGCCAGCAGCCGCGGUAAUGCACGUAAGUGCAAGCGUUAAUCGGAAUUACUGGGCGUAAAGCGUGCGCAGGCGGUUCCGGAAAGAAAGAUGUGAAAUCCCAGAGCUUAACUUUGGAACUGCAUUUUAACUACCGAGCUAGAGUGUGUCAGAGGAGGUGGAAUUCCACGUGUAGCAGUGAAAUGCGUAGAUAUGCGGAGGAACACCGAUGGCGAAGGCAACCUCCUGGGAUAACUGACGCUCAUGCACGAAAGCGUGGGGAGCAAACAGGAUUAGAUACCCUGGUAGUCCACGCCUAAACGAUGUCAACUAGCUGUUGGGGCCUUCGGGCCUUGGUAGCGCAACUAACGCGUGAAGUUGACCGCCUGGGAAUUACGGUCGCAAGAUUAAAACUCAAAGGAAUUGACGGGGACCCGCAAGCGGUGGAUGAUGUGGAUUAAUUCGAUGCAACGCGAAAAACCUUACCUACCCUUGACAUGUCUGGAAUCCCGAAGAGAUUUGGGAGUGCUCGCAAGAGAACCGGAACACAGGUGCUGCAUGGCUGUCGUCAGCUCGUGUCGUGAGAUGUUGGGUUAAGUCCCGCAACAGGCGCAACCCUUGUCAUUAGUUGCUACGAAAGGGCACUCUAAUGAGACUGCCGGUGACAAACCGGAGGAAGGUGAGGAUGACGUCAAGGUCCUCAUGGCCCUUAUGGGUAGGGCUUCACGUCAUACAAUGGUCGGGACAGAGGGUCGCCAACCCGCGAAGGGGGAGCCAAUCCCAGAAACCCGAUCGUAGUCCGGAUCACCGGUGCCGCAACUCGACUGCGUGAAGUCGGAAUCGCUAGUAAUCGCGGAUCAGCAUGUCGCGGUGAAUACGUUCCCGGGUCUUGUACACACCGCCCGUCACACCAUGGGAGUGGGUUUACCAGAAGUAGUUAGCCUAACCGUAAGGAGGGCGAUUACCACGGUAGGAUUCAUGACUGGGGUGAAGUCGUAACAAGGUAG